rnacentral:rRNA from 1 species
UACGUAGGGAGCGAGCGUUGUCCGGAAUCAUUGGGCGUAAAGCGCGCGUAGGCGGCCCGAUAAGUCCGCUGUAAAAGUCAACGGCUCAACUGUUGAAAGCCGGUGGAUACUGUCGGGCUAGAGUACGGAAGAGGCAAGUGGAAUUCCUGGUGUAGCGGUGAAAUGCGCAGAUAUCAGGAAGAACACCCGUGGCUAAGGCGGUUCUCUAGUACGGUACUGACGCUGAGACGCGAAAGCGUGGGGAGCGAACAGG